rnacentral:rRNA from 1 species
AUUGAACGCUGGCGGCAGGCCUAACGCAUGCAAGUCGAACGGUAACAGGAAGCAGCUUGCUGCUUUGCUGACGAGUGGCGGACGGGUGAGUAAUGUCUGGGAAACUGCCCGAUGGAGGGGGAUAACUACUGGAAACGGUAGCUAAUACCGCAUAACGUCGCAAGACCAAAGAGGGGGACCUUAGGGCCUCUUGCCAUCGGAUGUGCCCAGAUGGGAUUAGCUAGUAGGUGGGGUAACGGCUCACCUAGGCGACGAUCCCUAGCUGGUCUGAGAGGAUGACCAGCCACACUGGAACUGAGACACGGUCCAGACUCCUACGGGAGGCAGCAGUGGGGAAUAUUGCACAAUGGGCGCAAGCCUGAUGCAGCCAUGCCGCGUGUAUGAAGAAGGCCUUCGGGUUGUAAAGUACUUUCAGCGGGGAGGAAGGGAGUAAAGUUAAUACCUUUGCUCAUUGACGUUACCCGCAGAAGAAGCACCGGCUAACUCCGUG